rnacentral:rRNA from 1 species
AGAACGAACGCUGGCGGCAGGCUUAACACAUGCAAGUCGAGCGCACCGCAAGGUGAGCGGCAGACGGGUGAGUAACGCGUGGGAAUCUACCCAGUCCUUCGGAAUAACACAGGGAAACUUGUGCUAAUACCGGAUACGCCCUACGGGGGAAAGAUUUAUCGGGAUUGGAUGAGCCCGCGUUGGAUUAGCUAGUUGGUGGGGUAAUGGCCUACCAAGGCGACGAUCCAUAGCUGGUCUGAGAGGAUGAUCAGCCACACUGGGACUGAGACACGGCCCAGACUCCUACGGGAGGCAGCAGUGGGGAAUAUUGGACAAUGGGCGAAAGCCUGAUCCAGCCAUGCCGCGUGAGUGAUGAAGGCCUUAGGGUUGUAAAGCUCUUUCAGUAGGGAAGAUAAUGACGGUACCUACAGAAGAAGCCCGGCUAACUUCGUGCCAGCAGCCGC